rnacentral:rRNA from 1 species
AUGUCGGCCAUUAGCGGCGGCCAUUCUGCUUCAUCCUGUUCCCGAAGUGGCGCGGUUCGAAGGAGAGGCGUCGGCGGGUCAGCUCGGUCGCCCGUCCCAUCGGGAGCAGCCCAUGGAUUACGAGCCGACGAAGUUCUGCAGCUUGUGAGGGAGGAAGGCUGCACGGUGGAUCUCAUGGAGUCCAGCAAACCCAGGAAGGAGCAUGGGUUCAUCGAAUGGCAUGAGGGGCCGACGACACCAUUUAUCCGUGAUUUGUUGGGAGAUCUUCGGGACAAAGUGUGGAUGAGGCUGCUCUUGCUAUUCAGUCCAAUGAGAUAG